AAGCAGAGGGGGCUUAGUGGUGGGGUGACUGCGUACCUUUUGUAUAAUGGGUCAGCGACUUAUAUUCUGUAGCAAGGUUAACCGAAUAGGGGAGCCGGAGGGAAACCGAGUCUUAACCGGGCGUUAAGUUGCAGGGUAUAGACCCGAAACCCGGUGAUCUAGCCAUGGGCAGGUUGAAGGUUGGGUAACACUAACUGGAGGACCGAACCGACUAAUGUUGAAAAAUUAGCGGAUGACCUGUGGCUGGGGGUGAAAGGCCAAUCAAACCGGGAGAUAGCUGGUUCUCCCCGAAAGCUAUUUAGGUAGCGCCUCGUGAAUUCAUCUCCGGGGGUAGAGCACUGUUUCGGCUAGGGGGCCAUCCCGGCUUACCAACCCGAUGCAAACUGCGAAUACCGGAGAAUGUUAUCACGGGAGACACACGGCGGGUGCUAACGUCCGUCGUGAAGAGGGAAACAACCCAGACCGCCAGCUAAGGUCCCAAAGUCAUGGUUAAGUGGGAAACGAUGUGGGAAGGCCCAGACAGCCAGGAUGUUGGCUUAGAAGCAGCCAUCAUUUAAAGAAAGCGUAAUAGCUCACUGGUCGAGUCGGCCUGCGCGGAAGAUGUAACGGGGCUAAACCAUGCACCGAAGCUGCGGCAGCGACACUGUGUGUUGUUGGGUAGGGGAGCGUUCUGUAAGCCUGUGAAGGUGGCCUGUGAGGGUUGCUGGAGGUAUCAGAAGUGCGAAUGCUGACAUAAGUAACGAUAAAGCGGGUGAAAAGCCCGCUCGCCGGAAGACCAAGGGUUCCUGUCCAACGUUAAUCGGGGCAGGGUGAGUCGACCCCUAAGGCGAGGCCGAAAGGCGUAGUCGAUGGGAAACGGGUUAAUAUUCCCGUACUUGGUGUUACUGCGAAGGGGGGACGGAGAAGGCUAUGUUGGCCGGGCGACGGUUGUCCCGGUUUAAGCGUGUAGGUGUGUGUUCCAGGUAAAUCCGGUU
rnacentral:rRNA from 1 species